CCCUACGCUCGGUCUCUAGGUCGGGGUGUUUCCUCAGAGGACGUAAGCGCAACGUUCGCGUCCCGAAACGCCGUCGACCUUCCGCUCUCCUGACGAUAAUGCAAUGGUGGGAAUUUGAAAGGACAUCAGAAGUCGGGGAGCUGUCUCAUGAAAACAUCAUCAUCCCAGAAACGCAUCUCACCUUCUUCCGACUCGUCGGAAUUGGAGAAACCCCUUCCGAAGAGCCGGAGUUAUCGAAUCAAACCGGAGAUAAGUGGCGGCUUUGAAUGGCGAAUCUUGGCGGAGAGGAACCCGCUCACGUGAUAGAAAAAUAAUCGUUGGGCCCGGAGCCUCUUUGGAAUGAAAGGAAAGAGCCUGACUCACCGGUAUUCAAUUAGAAAACAACUGGAAAAGGACAGUCAACAGAUGAUGAGAAAAUGACGCUGCCUGCCUCUUACGAGGCCUCGUCUGUAAUCAUUCGGGGGAAACGGAGCGUUCGAUAAACAUUCCCCAAAACGCUUUUCACGGGCUCGUAUUGCCCGAGGGGCCUCCGAACACCGGAUGAGACUGUAGCAGGGACCGGGGUUUGUUUUUUAAACAAACAAAAAACUCGAUAUUCAGA